rnacentral:rRNA from 1 species
GACGAACGCUGGCGGCGUGCUUAACACAUGCAAGUCGAACGGGAUCCGGGCUUUCGGGUUUGGUGAGAGUGGCGAACGGGUGAGUAACACGUGAGUAACCUGCCCCCUUCUUUGGGAUAACGUCGGGAAAUCGGCGCUAAUACUGGAUAUUCUUGCUGCAUCGCAUGGUGUGGUUUGGAAAGGGUUUCUGGUGGGGGAUGGGCUCGCGGCCUAUCAGCUUGUUGGUGGGGUGAUGGCCUACCAAGGCUUUGACGGGUAGCCGGCCUGAGAGGGUGUCCGGCCACACUGGGACUGAGACACGGCCCAGACUCCUACGGGAGGCAGCAGUGGGGAAUAUUGGACAAUGGGCGCAAGCCUGAUGCAGCGACGCCGCGUGAGGGAUGACGGCCUUCGGGUUGUAAACCUCUUUCAGUAUGGAACAAGGAUCCUUCUUUUGGGGGGUUUGAGGGUACGUGCAGAAGAAGCGCCGGCUAACUACGUG